AACGAACGCUGGCGGCAUGCCUAACACAUGCAAGUCGAACGAGACCUUCGGGUCUAGUGGCGCACGGGUGCGUAACGCGUGGGAAUCUGCCCCUUGGUUCGGAAUAACUUCGGGAAACUGAAGCUAAUACCGGAUAAUGACGUAAGUCCAAAGAUUUAUCGCCAAGGGAUGAGCCCGCGUAGGAUUAGCUAGUUGGUGGGGUAAAGGCUCACCAAGGCGACGAUCCUUAGCUGGUCUGAGAGGAUGAUCAGCCACACUGGGACUGAGACACGGCCCAGACUCCUACGGGAGGCAGCAGUGGGGAAUAUUGGACAAUGGGCGAAAGCCUGAUCCAGCAAUGCCGCGUGAGUGAUGAAGGCCUUAGGGGUUGUAAAGCUCUUUUACCCGGGAAGACAAUGACUGUACCGGGAGAA
rnacentral:rRNA from 1 species